rnacentral:rRNA from 1 species
GAUGAACGCUAGCUACAGGCUUAACACAUGCAAGUCGAGGGGAAACGAUAGAGAAAGCUUGCUUUUUCUAGGCGUCGACCGGCGCACGGGUGAGUAACGCGUAUCCAACCUGCCCACCACUUGGGGAUAACCUUGCGAAAGUAAGACUAAUACCCAAUGAUAUCUCAAGAGGACAUCUGAAUGAGAUUAAAGAUUUAUCGGUGAUGGAUGGGGAUGCGUCUGAUUAGCUUGUUGGCGGGGUAACGGCCCACCAAGGCGACGAUCAGUAGGGGUUCUGAGAGGAAGGUCCCCCACAUUGGAACUGAGACACGGUCCAAACUCCUACGGGAGGCAGCAGUGAGGAAUAUUGGUCAAUGGGCGAGAGCCUGAACCAGCCAAGUAGCGUGCAGGAUGACGGCCCUAUGGGUUGUAAACUGCUUUUAUAAGGGAAUAAAGUGAGUCUCGUGAGACCUUUUGCAUGUACCUUAUGAAUAAGGACCGGCUAAUUCCGUGCCAGCCGCCGCCGUAA